GGAAUUACUUUAUUGAAACUUCGGUCGAUUUAAUUUAAUUCUAGUGGCGGACGGGUGAGUAACGCGUGGGUAACCUGCCUUAUACAGGGGGAUAACAGUCAGAAAUGGCUGCUAAUACCGCAUAAGCGCACAGAGCUGCAUGGCUCAGUGUGAAAAACUCCGGUGGUAUAAGAUGGACCCGCGUUGGAUUAGCUAGUUGGUGGGGUAACGGCCCACCAAGGCGACGAUCCAUAGCCGGCCUGAGAGGGUGAACGGCCACAUUGGGACUGAGACACGGCCCAGACUCCUACGGGAGGCAGCAGUGGGGAAUAUUGCACAAUGGGGGAAACCCUGAUGCAGCGACGCCGCGUGAAGGAAGAAGUAUCUCGGUAUGUAAACUUCUAUCAGCAGGGAAGAUAGUGACGGUACCUGACUAAGAAGCCCCGGCUAACUACGUGCCAGCAGCCGCGGUAAUACGUAGGGGGCAAGCGUUAUCCGGAUUUACUGGGUGUAAAGGGAGCGUAGACGGUGUGGCAAGUCUGAUGUGAAAGGCAUGGGCUCAACCUGUGGACUGCAUUGGAAACUGUCAUACUUGAGUGCCGGAGGGGUAAGCGGAAUUCCUAGUGUAGCGGUGAAAUGCGUAGAUAUUAGGAGGAACACCAGUGGCGAAGGCGGCUUACUGGACGGUAACUGACGUUGAGGCUCGAAAAGCGUG
rnacentral:rRNA from 1 species